rnacentral:rRNA from 1 species
GUAGCUUGCUAUGAUAAAAAUUAGUGGCAGACGGGUGAGUAAUGCAUAGGAAUCUACCUAGUAGUAUGGGAUAGCCACUAGAAAUGGUGGGUAAUACUGUAUAAUCCCUGCGGGGGAAAGAUUUAUCGCUAUUAGAUGAGCCUAUGUUAGAUUAGCUAGUUGGUAGGGUAAAGGCCUACCAAGGCAGUGAUCUAUAGCUGGUCUGAGAGGAUGAUCAGCCACACUGGAACUGAGAUACGGUCCAGACUCCUACGGGAGGCAGCAGUGGGGAAUAUUGGACAAUGGGCGCAAGCCUGAUCCAGCUAUGCCGCGUGAGUGAGGAAGGCCUUAGGGUUGUAAAACUCUUUCAGUGGGGAAGAUAAUGACGGUACCCACAGAAGAAGUCCCGGCAAACUCCGUGCCAGCAGCCGCGGUAAUACGGAGGGGGCAAGCGUUGUUCGGAAUUAUUGGGCGUAAAGGGCAUGUAGGC